UGUGGAGGCGUGUCGGGGCUGGUGUGCUGCACACUUUUUGUCGCUGCCCUAGGUCGUCCGUUCCGUGCGUGUGGCACUAACGUGCGUUCUUUCAUGGAGCCGACCCUGUCUUGGUUGUGGAUGUCCCCAUGUGGGUAGAUGUAUGCCUGGGCUGCUGGCAUUGGGUGUCUUAGUAAGCUGCAUGCCCCCCUGUUUCGACCCAGUUGGGCGUUAUCAAGAUCUGACAGUCUUAUUUAUUAUAGUGUGGGCCGCUGUGUGCGUGCACGGAGUGGGUGCCUCCGCCGGGGUCUGAGGGCGGCCUGUAAAUCGCACAGCUGGACCGGGCUGCUGUCUCAUACAUGCUGCUGUGGGGCUAUCGUGGUGCCACAACUAAUUAAAGGGCCAGUACUCUCCGGCGCAUUCUUCAACCCACUGAUGCUGUUCUGGAUUAAAGUAAAACUGGUCUGGAUACUAGUACAAAAGCAGUCUGGAUACUAGUACAAAAGCGGUCUGGAUACUGGUACAAAAUUGACUCUGUACUGUGUUAGCUGUUGUUUUUUUGGUUCUUUUUAUUUUGGUUGAUUUGCUGUUUUCUUAUUAUGCCUGCUCGAUUGUUUAUUUGAAUUGUUUUGUUUCUUGUUUAUUACUUUUUCUAAUAUCCAUUAAAAAUGAAUAAGUAAUGGAAA